GUGGGGAAUAUUGGACAAUGGGCGGAAGCCUGAUCCAGCCAUGCCGCGUGUGUGAAGAAGGCCUUUUGGUUGUAAAGCACUUUAAGCGGGGAGGAGGCUCUUGAGGAUAAUACCCUUGAUGAGUGGACGUUACCCGCAGAAUAAGCACCGGCUAACUCUGUGCCAGCAGCCGCGGUAAUACAGAGGGUGCGAGCGUUAAUCGGAUUUACUGGGCGUAAAGCGUGCGUAGGCGGCUUUUUAAGUCGGAUGUGAAAUCCCCGAGCUUAACUUGGGAAUUGCAUUCGAUACUGGGAAGCUAGAGUAUGGGAGAGGAUGGUAGAAUUCCAGGUGUAGCGGUGAAAUGCGUAGAGAUCUGGAGGAAUACCGAUGGCGAAGGCAGCCAUCUGGCCUAAUACUGACGCUGAGGUACGAAAGCAUGGGGAGCAAACAGGAUUAGAAACCCGUGUAGUCC
rnacentral:rRNA from 1 species